rnacentral:rRNA from 1 species
GACGAACGCUGGCGGCGUGCUUAACACAUGCAAGUCGAACGGAAAGGCCCUGCUUGCAGGGUACUCGAGUGGCGAACGGGUGAGUAACACGUGGGUGAUCUGCCCUGCACUUCGGGAUAAGCCUGGGAAACUGGGUCUAAUACCGGAUAGGAGCCAUUUUUAGUGUGAUGGUUGGAAAGUUUUUUCGGUGUAGGAUGAGCUCGCGGCCUAUCAGCUUGUUGGUGGGGUAAUGGCCUACCAAGGCGGCGACGGGUAGCCGGCCUGAGAGGGUGGACGGCCACAUUGGGACUGAGAUACGGCCCAGACUCCUACGGGAGGCAGCAGUGGGGAAUAUUGCACAAUGGGCGCAAGCCUGAUGCAGCGACGCCGCGUGGGGGAUGACGGCCUUCGGGUUGUAAACUCCUUUCGCUAGGGACGAAGCUUUUUGUGACGGUACCUAGAUAAGAAGCGCCGGCUAACUACGUG